rnacentral:lncRNA from 1 species
GUCUUCUUCUUCUCCUGUUGAUUUAAAACCGUCUUCUUCUCCUCUUAUUUACGGCUGUUGCGCCUGGGUUGUUUUUUCAAACCCUCCGCCGGUGCCAUAGCUCGGAUUGUAAUGCAUUACUGGACUCAGUAACUGUAAUAAUAUUACCACAAUAUAGUUAGUAUUGCGUUAUAUUAUGUUACUGCCUAAACGUAUAAAUAUAUUACUGUAACGCGAUACUUUUGGAACUUUUUUUUGUAACACGUUACCCCCAACGCUGUCCACAAACUUAAUCAAAAAACAAAACAUUAAAAAAACAAAAUGUACCCUUUCUGAUGAGUCUACGUUGGUCCAGAAUGUCACUGUCAGUUUUGUGUAUGUAGUAUGAAUGGAACAAGGUAGUUCACAUGAGCUAUAUAUGCAGAUGAUAAUGGAUGAUAAAGGUUCUGCAGUAGUCAUCAUCAGAUGCUUGAGUUCAGUCAAUGUUUGUGUGUGUGUCCCUGUGAGCAGAUCAGAUCUCAGAGCUGCUGAAGCCUCACAGAGUCUGUCUGGUGACUCCUGUUGUCCUGAACCACUCCAGUCAGCCAUGUGGGAGAUCAGCCAACAGGUUUGUGGUACUGAGUCUAUGGAGAUGUUACUUGGUUAUAAACAAACAGCCUCUCAGGGUGGAGAGCACUUUCAGCUACCUGGAGAUUUGCUCUAUCAACGUCCACAGCCUCACACAGGUAAACUCUUCCAAAAUCAUACCUGUAUAAUCAAAUAAUUUUUUCUUUAUCAUUUACUGUAUUUUUUACCAGUUAUACAGUAUAUUUGUAUUCAGGA